CGCUCCGGGUUAUACUCUCUGGCGCCAUCUUGGAUUAGGUCAGAGUCACCUCCGUCGGUAGUCCAGCAGUUUCUAACAUCUGGAUGCGUUGUCGUCCUUGACUGUUUCUCCCCGUAUAAACUCUGUCUCCAUGAUGGAUCAAGAAAAUGAUGCUUUCCUUCUCCCUUUUCAUCUUCUUCCAGUGGGUGAUCGAACAACCUGCCAUUUUGGGUCAGGGUAAUUGACGCCGAUAUCGCUUCCCAUCAACCCCAGAGGCGGGAGAGGAAUACACUUUUUGGCGGGUUCUCUUUGCUCCUGCACCAGCAGCCAGGUUGAAGGUUCAACCUUCGAAAGUUUCUUACCUGGCUUUUAAAUUUUAAGUUACUAGUACAGUGGAGAAGGUCAACGAGAAGUGUGCCCCCUUUUUUUACUAAAGUCGUACGUGUGGUCUAGGUUCCAGUGUCAUUUGGGAAGGUCUGGAAGGUUCAAGUGCAUCUUCCAGCCUGAAGCCCUGUGGGAUCACCUGUCGCCGAGGCGGGACGAGGACGAGGUAUUUAGGUGGUCAACUAAGGGUGAGGUGCCGAGUGGAGCAAGUAACUUCCCAUCUACAGUGGUCAAAAACAGAAGUGUUGGCUUAAACGGAAAACCUGACUGCUGAGAAUGAAGCAUUGGCAAGAAUGUGGAGAAAAAGGAACCCUCCUGCCCUGAUGGAGUAUAAUCAGUUCCUUGAGAGAGGAUAUUUCAGACACAUCUUAGCAUCUCUGACUACCAGAAGAAUAGGGGCUUACUUUCAGGAGCAGGGGCUAUUACUCUAAUUUUAUAGACGAGAAAACUGAAGCACAAACUACACAGCUCCAGUAGGAGGUGCAGCUGGAAACGACUCCCCUUGGCUGAUUAACCAGUUAUCUCCAACUAGAAGAACUCUAGUCCCAGAGUCCAAUAAUGUGAGGAUUUAUUACACACUUCCAUGUGGUCACCACUGGGGCAACAACAGUUUCUGACAUGAAGCCCUCCCCGCAGAAUGUCAGCAUUUGGAACACAGCAGGGCCUGCGGGCUAAGAUUUCAAACAAGCAGCAGUUAGAAAUUUUAAAGUUGUCUCCAAACAUUGUAGGUCCUCUGGCUGUCUCCAGUUCCAGUGAUCAAAGCCACUGAAGGUAAAUUAUUGUAGCUGUCAGAAUGGCCCCUCCCACUUCCCUUUUGGGUCACUGUCAAGGAAAUCCUACCCUAGUGACCCUGUCUCUCCUCUGCAUCUAUCUCAGAUGGCCCCAUUGGAUUCUCUCCUAACUCAGGUAGCUCCAGGUUCCAAAAACACCCGAGAUUGUUGUCCUGGCUGGUUGUUUCGUAUCACAAGUAAUCUGGUAAUUGCUUCUGAAUUGCAGGUCUACUUAGAUUCGGUGGUGAGGAGCAUAGAACUGGUACUUUUAAAAGUCUUAAAAAGUGGAAAAUAUGUGUGAAUAUAAAUGGCUAAUCACAAACUAUAACGUAGGUAUUGAGUCUAUAUUAUCAAUGUAAUUGGUGAAACUAUGGACCAUGCCCUCCAGACUGAUUUCACACAAACAUUUAAAUUUUAAUUUCACUGUAAUUUCAAAAGUAAUAUGCAUGGUUCAGGUAAAAUUUGGAGUUCUCGUUUUUCCCUAGUCUAUCUGGAACAGCGCUUAUAGAACUUUACAGAAAGUUUUAACCUGUGCUGUCUGAUCAGGUAGCCACUAGUCACAUGUGACUACUGAAUGCUUGAAAUGUGGUUAGCACAACUGAGGAACUGAAUUUGAAAAUUUAUUUAUUUUAAUUAACUUAAGCUUAAAUAGUCACUUGUGACCGUGGCUACCAUAUUAGUCAUAAUGGAAGUAGAAUUUGAUGAUGACCUUAUAACAGGAUAGUCAAUUAUGUUUCAGCCACAAAGUAACCUAAAAUCUUGGUGAUUUAUAAGAAUCAGGGGGAAAAGAGCCUCCUUAAUGACUAGCAAGGAUGUUAGCCUCCCUUUCAAAAUACAGUGAAGGAGUUCCUACAGGGUAAAGACAGUAGUAUCAUUUGUAUUUUCUUGAAAAUUGGAGAAUUGAGUUUCUUUAGAAUUCAAUUAUCCUUAAUCUCCUUGAUACUUAUUAGCAUUGAUUUAUUAAUAACCAGUAAGAUGUGAAAAGUAAAAUUCAAAACACUUUGAUUAAAAAGUAAAAGAGACUAUAUAAAGUUAGAGCUGACAAUAGCCAUCGUGUCUUUUUAAUUAUACAUAGAUAUAUCAUUUAAUAUGAAGUUCUGCAAUGUAAACAGCAACUAAUGAAUUUUUGUGUGUUUGGGAUGAAAAUGGAAUGGGAGAAAAUUUCUUUUUUUUUCCUGGUGCAGAAUAUUUAUAGUCAGUUUUUCCCUAGCAAGGAAUAAAAAGUCCUUUUCUUUAAAAAUAGUAAUUUCCUCACUAGGAAUACUUGUAGAUUGUGGUUGCCUAAAAAAAAAAUGAAAAAAAUUAAAUAUUUAUUAAUUGGACAAUGGAUUAUUUCCCUCCAGACUACAUUGUAGAAUCAUAGAAUCAUCUAACCAACAUUUAUUAGCAUGCCUUGAUUCUUUCUAGAGUAUCUAUAAUAUCAUUUGAACCCUCAAGACAUACGGGACUCACCAUCUGAUAACAGAUUUCCGAUAGAGCAGGAGGGUUAUCAGGAAUUUCCUCCUAACAAGUGUUUCAAUAUCAAGACACAGAAAGAUAGCACUUGAUUGCCAAUUACAAACCGCAGCAAAAUUACAAAUGCAAACCAAGCCCUCGUUAAUAAUAUUAAUGAUGAUGAUGAUUUUGUCACAUGCCAUAAAUGUCAUAUAGAUCUUAGCAUUAUGAAGAUUUGUUAGAUAGCGAAUGUAUGGAAGUUAUCUAUAGAAUUGAACCAAACUGAUGCUCAAGAGAGAUUUUGCACAAAAUUUGCAAAUUAGGCUACCCGGUGUGAACAAGAUCUCUGUAAGUUGUUCUGUUCCAAAGUGAAACACAACCAUCUCAGCCAUUCAUACAGCACAGCUUUUUUAUUUUUUUAUUUUAUUUUAUUUUUUAAAAGAUUUUAUUUAUUUAU